UAGGGAAUCUUCCGCAAUGGACGAAAGUCUGACGGAGCAACGCCGCGUGAGUGAUGGAGGCUUUCGGGUCGUAAAACUCUGUUGUUAGGGAAGAACAAGUACAAGAGUAACUGCUUGUACCUUGACGGUACCUAACCAGAAAGCCACGGCUAACUACGUG
rnacentral:rRNA from 1 species